UACACUUUCAACCAUUUCAAAAAUUUGUUAGAUCUGAAAUCAAGAGUUUUUUGUCAAAAUUCAUUUUGAUUUUUUUAGCAUCCAAACACCUCUUCCUUUUCUAAUUUCAAAUGAGAUUCAUUCUUUCUCCUUCAAAUUUCUAUAAACACUUAGCUCCUUUUUGCUCGAUUGAUCAUAUUUCAUGGAGAUCUUCGAAUUAAAGCCUCUGUUCGUGAGGGAGCGCCUAUGAGUAAGGAUAAGGGCAAGCAAAAAUUUGUGUAGGUUUGGGAAUAUAAGCGAGGAAACAACUGCUCGUGUGAGCAGCAUCAUGUAGCCUACAUUUCGACCCACAGCUCGUGUGAGCAUUGAUGUAAAGGAAAGGUUACUGUUGUUUGUAAAGGCACACUUCGUGUGAACUUUCCCGAGUAUCCGGUGUAAUUCUAGAUGGUUCAACGUGUAAAAAAAGGAAUGGAACGGUGACUUAAUGGAAAGGUUCAUGACUAUAUGAAAAGGUUGAUGCUUAUGUAAUGUAUCCUAUGAAAUUCUUGUUAUUAUAUAAAUGAGUUUAUGUGUUGUUGAUGAACCAAUUAACAUGUGAGUUCGAUGAUGCUUGAAUAGGCUUAUACUAAACUUAUGACAUUGGUAAUGGUUUAUGUUUAAUCUUUGAAUUGUAAUAUUGGAAUUAGUAAGCAAGCAAAUGGAAUGAAUCAUGACCGUAUGGUAACGAUAAUGAAUUAAAUGUUAUGUUUAUACAUGGUUGAUUUCAUAUGUAUCAUGAACAAGUAUAUUAACUUGUGAGUUUCACGGUGUUAUAUAGGCUUUUAUUAAGCUUAUGGUGUUGGUAAAGGUUUAUACUUAUUCUAUAAACUUCAUUAUUGAAAUGGUAAGUAAUGAUUUAAGUUUAUAUGAGCUUACUAAGAAUUCAUUGCUUACGUAGUUAUUUUCCUUGUUUUAUAGAUCAUCAGAAGGUUGAUUUGUUUGGAAGGUCGUCGAGGACCUACCACACUUUCCAGUAGACAAUUCGGUAGUUUUUUAAUAAUUUGGUUAAGGUUUAUAGUGACAUGUGUAGAGUGAUUUGUAGUGGUGUUAAUGGUGUUUGGCAUGUAUAAGCUGUGGAAAGAUAUGUUGGUUUGGUACACUUUGAUGCCUUACCAAGUUAUGUGAUUUUGGUUACUUUCAUGUGCUUGUUUAUAAGGUUAUCUUGGCAUGUGAAUGAUGGUUUGAAAAUGGUUACUUGUGACAAGUUUUAGUUCAUAUUUGAACUAGGUUAGUAUGUAUGGAAAUGACAAUAUUAACAUGUAUAAGAUGCUUUGUAAUGGUAAUUAGUGAGCGUGUAAAUGGUAAUUUGGCAUGUUAGUGCCUUGAUAUUUAUGUAUGGUUGAUGGACUUGUAAUGUUUGUUAUGUUAAGUCCCUUUGAUCACAUUAGGUAAUUGAUGGGCAUGGUCAUAUGGUAUGUUGAUGUUAGAUUGAAAAUGGUCUUUGUAAUGCAUUACAUAAUAAAAUUAGGUAUUCAUGCUUAAAAUAAGGCAAUAUUGACAUGUUUAGGUAAAUGGUGUUUAGAUGCAAAUAUGGUGCCUUUGAAUGACAUAUUAGUAAGGUAAAUUAGGUUUUUUUGAAAUGGUAUAAUUAUGCAAGUUUGAAUGGUGUUUGAACCCCUUGAAUGCACAUUUAAAUAGUUUUGAAAAGUUAUGUAUGAAAUGGUUUUGAAAUGGCUCACACGGGCGUGUGACAGAGCCAUGUGAGGCACACGGUUUGGCGACACGGCCGUGUGUCAUCUGAGGAUUUCUUAAGAUUCAAGUUAGUGAGUUAUACGACCUGGCACAUUGGCGUGUGACAUCGCCGUGUGACUCUACUCAGUGAGUUACACUGGUGAGGACACGACUAUGUGUCUCUUGUUCGAAAGUUAUAUGGCCUAGGGUGAUUCCACACGGCCUGUCUACACGGCCGUGUGACCCCUGUUUCCAAUUUUUGCAACACUUUCCUAAACUUUCUGAUUUGUUUCAAAUUAGUCUGGAAUUACUUCAAAGCUAUUUUUAAGGCCUAUAGGGCUCAAUUUAGGGAUAGAUGCAUGUGAUUGAAUGGAUUAUGGUAUGUUUAAUUUAUUUAUAUAUUGUGAUGUUAAAUGUUUCUGAUUAUACAGUAAUGCUCCAUAACCCUAAUUCGACGACGAAGACGGGUUAAGGGUAUUAUAUUUAGUGGUAUUAGAGCUAUAAUUUAGUCAGUUCUGGAACUAAACGUAGCAUGAAUAAAGUCUAGAAAUACAUGUCAUUAUAUAACCUAUGAUAGUGUGAUAUCUCUUAACUUAAAAUGAAUUACGUUUUUAUAUAGAUAAAGAUAUUUUCCAAUCGAGCUAAUUCUGAUGAUGCUAAAAGCAUUAUUAUAGUCUCUUAUCAAAAGGUUGCUAAUGAUGAGCAAAAAUUCAUAAAGGUUAGAGUAGAGGUUCAUAGUGUUUAUUUUAGUAAUGAAUGUUAUGUCUAUUGUGUAUAUAUGAGAAUCAAAUUUUGUGGCUUUACGACCUCCAUUCCUCUCAUCCUCAAAGUCUUAUACAACGGAAUAUUCACGAGAUUUAUGUUAAUUAAGUCUGUAAAAGAGGAACCAAAGAGUUCGGCGAUUGAAUGAGUAAUAAUAUGGUCAGAGCCGAGAGUUGGUUAGCAAAUACAGAGAGUUCUAAAUGAAAUAUUAGAUAUUUCUGAAGAACGUUGGGAUGUGCAAUGUUAUUGUUAAAAGAAAAAGUUAUUCACUGGUAAUCAAAUUUAUCUGGUAUGGUAUCUAAAGAAUAGGUUAGAGGUGUUACAAUGUGAAUCCAUUCCAUUAUACGAACUUAAACCUAAUGGGCAAACCUACCCAUAGUACGAACCCAUACUACAAGUGCGAAACCUUAUCUAGUGUGCGACCCCAUAUUGAAUAUGCGAACUCAACCUUUGUGCGAACCCUCCAUAGUGCAAACCCCAUCAUGUGUGAGCCCCUAUCAUGUGUGAACCUAAUCCUAACAUGUGAGCUCUAUAUUUUGCUGUGUGAGCUCAUAGGUUGUGCGAACCAUGUGUUAUGUGAUCUAGUAUAAUGUGCGAACCGUAAAAUUAUUUUGUGUUUUGCGAUCCUAUAUGUUACAUACAAACCUUAUAUCAAUUUGUACGAGCUUGUUUGUAUGUGCGAUUGUAUGUAAAGUACGAACCUAUGCUGUGUAAUUGCCAUGUGAUAUGCGAACUUAUGUUAAAAUGACAUGCAAACCCAUGCUAUGUUAUAUGCAAACCUAAGCUAUAUGAUAUGUGAACUUAUGCUAAAGUGACAUGUGAACCUAAGCUAUAUGAUAUGUGAACUUAUACUAAAGUGAUAUGCAAACCUAGGCUUUGUGAUGUGCGAACUAUAACUUAUGUGAGCUAUGACAUGAAUGCUAUGUGAAACAUGAUUAUAAGGGUAAGCUAUGUUGUAUGCAAGCUAAAUUACUUGUGAACCACGAUGUAUUAUGAAAUGUGAAUUGAGAAUUGUGUUAUAAUGUGCAAGCUCUGCUUAACUACGAGCCCAAUUAUAUUGAGUGUUGUGCAUGUGGAAAAUGAUAUGUUGGCAUUGUGAUCUCUUAGAACCAUUGGAUAUAGUUGGAAUGCCAAAGGAUUGUUAUUAAUUACCCUCAUUAUUGCGAUGAACAUUGUGGUCCAGAGAUGUGUUGGAGAGAUAAACAUUGUGGUCUAGAGAUGUGUUGGAGAGAUAAGGGAAUGUAAAGCAUAGCUCCAUUCACUGGAGAUGCUUAGGGCUCUAUGAGUCAACAGUGUUUGAGAGUGUGAGCAUUCGUGCUACACUUAUACUGGAGAUGCGUAAGGCUCUUUAAUUCAAAAGUGAGGCAUUGUAAGGAGAUCUAUUUAUGUAAUAUAUGGUGAUAGAGUCCCCUAUAUGUUUCAUAAUCACAAGAUGCCAAUUUAUCCUUAUUUGAAAUAUAUGAGUUAUGAUGCAGUAUGAACUAUUAUUUUGCUUGAACUUUUAUUUGGUAUGAAUUGUUGUUUCAUAUGAACUCUUGUUUAUUGCGAACUAAUAUUUUAUGCGAAUUGCUUACUCUAUGUGAACUGUUUAUUUUAUGGGAACUGUAAGUCGUGUGAGACACUAUUCCAUUCAAGUCAUAAUAUUAUGUGAAUUGUUAUUGUAUGCUUACUUCUAACACCGCUAAUGUAUUUAUUUGUAGUAUGUUUGAGCACUCACUAAGCUUUGAUAAGCUCACACUCUCUUUUUAAAACAUUAUAUACACUUAGUUUAUGAGGCUUUGGGGAAGUGAGUCAUCCAAGUGAUCCAUAACAAGGCUACACCUGGGUCUGUUGAUGUGUUUCCAAUCCAAGUGAGGAAGGCAAUGUGGGACCAAAUUAUGGGAUUUACUAUUAGGCAUAGCUAUAUUUAUCGGGUUGUAAUUAGACAUUAUGAACUCUUUAGUUAUUUGGUUUGAAACUUUUAUUACCAUUUUAGAUAGAUGAUUAAAUGGUGGAUUGUGAUUACAUGAUAAAUAGUAUGAAUAAUUGUUUAACUAAUUCGUAAGUACAGGUGAAAGAGUCGAUAGGCAUCGAGGUAAGUCCUAAAUGUUUAUGUAUGUUUUGGUAAAAAAUUAUAUGUUUGGAAUGCAUGGAUUGUACAAUAAAUCUAGUUACAUAAA